rnacentral:rRNA from 1 species
UACGAAGGGAGCUAGCGUUGUUCGGAAUCACUGGGCGUAAAGCGCACGUAGGCGGCUUAGCAAGUCGGAAGUGAAAUCCCUCGGCUCAACCAAGGAAGUGCUUUCGAAACUGCUGAGCUUGAGUACUUAAGAGGAUCGCGGAAUUCCCGGUGUAGAGGUGAAAUUCGUAGAUAUCGGGAGGAACACCAGUGGCGAAGGCGGGUUGCUGGGCCGACACUGACGCUGAGGCGCGAAAGCCAGGGGAGCGAACGGG